AUUGAACGCUGGCGGCAUGCCUUACACAUGCAAGUCGAACGGCAGCACGGGUGCUUGCACCUGGUGGCGAGUGGCGAACGGGUGAGUAAUACAUCGGAACAUGUCCUGUAGUGGGGGAUAGCCCGGCGAAAGCCGGAUUAAUACCGCAUACGAUCUACGGAUGAAAGCGGGGGGCCUUCGGGCCUCGCGCUAUAGGGUUGGCCGAUGGCUGAUUAGCUAGUUGGUGGGGUAAAGGCCUACCAAGGCGACGAUCAGUAGCUGGUCUGAGAGGACGACCAGCCACCCUGGGACUGAGACACGGCCCAGACUCCUACGGGAGGCAGCAGUGGGGAAUUUUGGACAAUGGGCGAAAGCCUGAUCCAGCAAUGCCGCGUGUGUGAAGAAGGCCUUCGGGUUGUAAAGCACUUUUGUCCGGAAAGAAAUCCUUGGCCCUAAUACGGUCGGGGGAUGACGGUACCGGAAGAAUAAGCACCGGCUAACUACGUG
rnacentral:rRNA from 1 species